AAAGGGUGGGGGCCUUCCUGCGCGGUCUCCGCGGCGCUCAAGGACAAGGUCUCUAGGCGUCGGAGCAUUUUUAGGUGCUUUCCUGCGUUGGAGGCGACCCCCUGUAGGAUAAAUCUGCAGAGGCUUUUGUGGAGGGGGCGCACCAGUUUAUCUGAAGAGCCAAGAGUUUUUCUCAAGAUUGUGCCACUUCAAAGGGGCCACGUAGCGUCCUGACGCUUCCCUAGCGCCCGUAGUAAACACUCCUGCCUCAUUUCAUAAGUGUCAGCCUGUCCCUACGAGCUGUGCUGACUCGGGACAUGGGCUUGUACAUCCCACAGCUGAAAUGUGCUCUAUUCACUCAACAGAUUGAAGGUUACCUAAAGUAAAUUGGAAUUGGAACAUUCUGGAUGCCCAAGUUACUGCUUCCCACCAUAACUGAGCCUGUGCAUGUGUUUAGGACCAACACACCAGCAAGGUCAAAACUUCAAAUCACGAAAUAAAAACAAAAUUGCUGCUAAA